UGGGAUAUGUCGUAAAUGGUUUACGCUUUGAUUGCAGAUCAAAUGAAAGGGGUUCGAUUCCCCCUUAUCCCUA
rnacentral:tRNA from 1 species